GGGACCGACGGUCCCGAGCGCCAGUAAUGCUCACCGGUCUGCAAAACCGGGGGUUGGGGGUUCGAUUCCCUCCUGUCCUGCCA
rnacentral:tRNA from 1 species